AGAGGACAACAUCGUAAUGUUUUUAGAGAAGCAAGCAGACAAAGAGGAUAUAUUCUUUCCCUACAACUUCAAUUUCCAUUUUAUUCUCCUAAUCAUUGAUCUUCACCUUGGAGUCGUAAACGUCAUGGACUCGAAACGUACAGAAUAUGCGGAAUGGGCGGACAUGGCUGCCAUCCUCCAGAGGGCUUGGAAACGGUUCAUCAAUACUGUUCCGGGUGAAUGGAAACCGGAGCUUACAUUUAGAGAUUACCCU